CCAACUUUCAGACUAAACGCAGCUUACCUGUUACCGAGCUGUCAACACCUAGGCCAUUGUGGCGAGGAUUGUCACUGCUCCCUGGUCUCAAAACUUAGGGCUCUAACUUUGUGCUCUUCAGUUUAUUAGGGGAAUGACAAUUUAAGAUGAUUUGACUCACAGAGCAACCCAAAUGCAGGAAAACUCUCUCCAGCUGAUUGUAAGAAAAUUCAAGGACAGCAGUCGUGUCUCCAGCUGUUGCCAAAUGCGAAAGAAAAUACAGCAUGACAAUAGCAACUUGUUUGGCAUGUCCUAAUGUGCGCUCCAGCCCCCAACUUUGGAGAUACUCUCUUGUGAUGAAGUGAUGAAGGUCUUCAUAAAACCUUCAUGGAGUUUAAAGUGACAUGAAACCUAACAAUGUACUUACUGUGAUGUGCCUUUUUCAACAUCUAUAUUCAUCAAAUGAGGUUCUCAGAACACCAUAUCAGCUUUGUUUGGAGUUUCUUAAAAGGUCCCAGCUUUCCCCUGGAAGUUACCUGAGAAGUGAGGCAAUGAGGAGCCAGAGAGGACCUGUAAAAUGCAUCAAUACGACUGUAUGCAUAUGAUCGCAGCCGUACCCACUGGACAGUACCUGAGAGCCCGCCGGAUAUGUUCAUCCAGACUCCAGGCUGAGGACCUAAGGAGAAGAUUCAGCGAAAGAGGCUUCAGCCAACGCAGUUUAAAGAAGGCAUAUAAGAGAGUGAGCACCACCCCAAGAAAUUAUUUAUUACAACCAAAGGUACCAAGGAAUAUCACAUACGUUCAAGAAUAACAUGUGAAACGAAAUCCGUGAUUUAAUAUGCUACGUGUCAGUGUACAAAAAUCUACAUUGGGAUGACAUCCAGAAAAUUGAAGGUACCAUAACUGCAACUCCUCGCUACUUAAGGUGAGCUGGAAUUGAAUCAAUUGACCUUGGGAUCAGAAGUAGUAAUAUCGAAAAAUUCUCGCCCAGAAAGAAAGCCGAUGGAUCUGGACUUUGGAUACUUUAUACCCCAGAGGCCUCAAUGACAUCUUACCAUUUGCUUCAUUUCUCUGACUGUUUCGUCUUCCCCCAAUAGAAGGAUCAGAUGCCACCUGCUUCAUCACAUGGUACUUUGCUACCCCCACAGCCUGCCAUGUGCCACUUGAUUAUUUUUUGUUUCUCUAUAGUCACUCUGCCAAACACCAAAAACUUAGUAUUUGGUGGUGAUCGUUCUUUUUACCCCAUCAAUUUUGGGGAUAUCUGCAUACUUCUAUGCUUCUGCAUAUCCAUAUAUGAUCACGUAGUGUUUACUUAUUCUAUUUUUCUCACCUAUAUAUAUAUAUUUUUUUUUUUAGAGAUUUUUUUUUAGAUGUGUUUUCACAAUAACUUUGUUGUACUUUUCGCUAAUGUAUUUUUUUUUUUUUCAUUUUUAAUCCUAACCGAUGUGCACACCCACUUACAAUAACACUUUUUAAUUUAUUAAUUUUAUUCAUUUUUUAUUAUCAUUUUUCAAAUACACUUUUUUUCCAUUCAAAAUGGUUUUGUCACUAUUUCAUAAUUUUUUUCUUAAUCCAACAUCAGUGGUAGAUCCAUUUACCAUUCUCAUCACUUUUUACAAUUUCAUUCACAUUUGGAGUUGUUUACCUUUUAUGUAUACUCCUAUACUCUCCAUACAUACUCAUAUAUUUCUUUUUCACAUACUCUAUAUCAUUUUAAAUUUUUAUUGUUUUAUUGAAAAGAUGGGACUAACAAUCCCAUACAUCCAGUUACAGAAUGCUCUCUCACAUUAAUUACACUGCAGUCACACAAUUGGUUAAUCACUCACACUCCUAUUCGCACUCACUUUUUUCACCAUCUUUACGCCCAUCCUCUUUUCCUCUUAUCACAUUCUCAUUUUCUCCUUCACAUCCUCACACUCUCUACUGAACACACUUCACGUCACUCAAUUCAUCAAUUGCGCAUGCGGGGUAAUACAAACUUCACUUUGCAAAGUACUGAGCCCAGUAUAGUGUGCAGGCGCCGUCUCCCGGCUCACGCGACUACGAGUAUGUGGCGUCAUGUGAUCCGGUCAGCUGGCCGGGCCUCUGACGCGGUACCCGGAAGUUGAUGGUGCCGGGAAUGACGGCGUGUGCGCCAUUUGUAUGCUGCGCUCAGGUAUAACCAAUGCUUAUAAUUAGGUACCGUGAUGUGGCUACCUGUGAUUGGUCUGUGGUAGCAUAAAUAGCAUAUCCUGAUGGAGAGACGCCACCCCUCGACAAAGGUUUGCCGAAACACCGCGUUGGGGUGGUUUUGCUCCGGUGUCCUGUGCCUUCUUUACCUUUAUGUAUGGCUAAGUAUACACUCUGCAUUUUAUGCUUCUGCACAAUUUUGCACAAUAGACUUUGUUUACAUGUGUUUACUGCUAUGUAUAUGCUGCCUGUCAGUUUGCUAAUGUACCAUGCACUAGGCACUUUGUAAAGGAUACAUGAGUGACACCUUUUCUUGAUUCUCUUCCCUUCCUGGGUAGAUAU